CAAGCGGUGGAGCAUGUGGUUUAAUUCGAUGCAACGCGAAGAACCUUACCUGGUCUUGACAUCCACAGAAUCUUGCAGAGAUGCCAUAGUGCCUUCGGGAACUGUGAGACAGGUGCUGCAUGGCUGUCGUCAGCUCGUGUUGUGAAAUGUUGGGUUAAGUCCCGCAACGAGCGCAACCCUUAUCCUUUGUUGCCAUUGGUUCGGUCGGGAACUCAAAGGAGACUGCCGUUGAUAAACCGGAGGAAGGUGGGGAUGACGUCAAGUCAUCAUGGCCCUUACGACCAGGGCUACACACGUGCUACAAUGGCGUAUACAAAGGGAGGCGACCUCGCGAGAGCAAGCGGACCUCAUAAAGUACGUCCAAGUCCGGAUUGGAGUCUGCAACUCGACUCCGUGAAGUCGGAAUCGCUAGUAAUCGUGAAUCAGAAUGUCACGGUGAAUACGUUCCCGGGCCUUGUACACACC
rnacentral:rRNA from 1 species